CCCCAGCAACCCCUCUGUCCCAGUAGCAGUGAGCAGCGGGCCAGGCCGGGGAGAUGCUGACAGUCAUGCUAGUAUGAAGAGUCUGCUGACCAGCAGGCCUGAGGACACCACACACAAUCGCCGCAGCAGAGGUGAGGCCCAUAGCUGCUGUGGGGAAUGGGCUCCAGUGCCACCUUGGCCUGACUUUGCUAUCUGGCCUUCCUCAGGCAUGGUCCAGAGCAGCUCCCCAAUCAUGCCCACAGUGGGGCCCUCCACUGCAUCCCCAGAAGAACCCCCAGGCUCCAGUUUACCCAGUGAUACAUCAGAUGAGAUCAUGGACCUUCUGGUGCAGUCAGUGACCAAGAGCAGUCCUCGUGCCUUAGCUGCUAGGGAACGCAAGCGUUCCCGCGGCAACCGCAAGUCUUGUAAGUAACCCCCCCACAAUCCCACUGCCCACCUGAACCCCAUCAACCCCCUCCAACCCUGCUCUGUCCCUGCAGUGAGAAGGACGUUGAAGAGUGGGCUCGGAGAUGACCUGGUGCAGGCACUGGGACUAAGCAAGGGUCCUGGCCUGGAGGUGUGAAGGUGCUGUAUCCCGGAAAUCUAUCUGGACCCUGGACUGCAGUGCAGGAGAUGACAGAGUGAGGAGGGCCCAGAGCAGAAUUCUGGCCCCAGAACUCUGUGCCCAGGAGCCAUGCCUUGAGCAGUAUUAGCCGUGUGUGUGUGCAUGUGAGUGUGAGUGUGUGUGUGUGUGUGUGCAUGUGCAUGUGUGUGAGCUCCUUGAAAGCACGGAGCAAAAUAAAAUUUUCUUAGCUAAUCCAACA
rnacentral:sRNA from 1 species